GCCCCCUUCUACUGCCGUGAUGCCUACUCAGGAAGCAACUGCCUCCACCCCAAAAACUAGAAUUAAAGUAUUAGCUGUAAAAAGAGUUGGUGGAAGAAGACCACCAAUAUUUGGGAAGUCCAAAGUUGAUAAUAAACAAAAAGGGAUUGCAAAAUAUAGAAAAAAGCUGCCCUUUUGGGAGAGCCUUCACUUGGUAGUUC
rnacentral:lncRNA from 1 species